rnacentral:rRNA from 1 species
UACGGGGGGGGCAAGCGUUGUUCGGAAUUACUGGGCGUAAAGGGCUCGUAGGCGGCCAACUAAGUCAGACGUGAAAUCCCUCGGCUUAACCGGGGAACUGCGUCUGAUACUGGAUGGCUUGAAUUCGGGAGAGGGAUGCGGAAUUCCAGGUGUAGCGGUGAAAUGCGUAGAUAUCUGGAGGAACACCGGUGGCGAAGGCGGCAUCCUGGUUGGAUACUGACGCUGAUACGCGAAAGCUAGGGGAGCAAACGGG